UACGAGGGGGGCGAGCGUUGUUCGGAAUUAUUGGGCGUAAAGGGUGCGUAGGCGGUUUGGUAAGUCUUGUGUGAAAUCUACAGGCUCAACUUGUAGUCUGCACGAGAAACUGCCGGGCUUGAGUAUGGGAGAGGUGAGUGGAAUUCCUGGUGUAGCGGUGAAAUGCGUAGAUAUCAGGAGGAACACCUGUGGCGAAAGCGGCUCACUGGACCAUAACUGACGCUGAUGCACGAAGGCCAGGGGAGCAAACGGG
rnacentral:rRNA from 1 species